CCUGUUUACCAAAAACAUAUUUAAUAGACCUAAUUAUUAAUAAUUCCUGCUCCAUGAAUUUUUAAAUAGCCGCAGUUCAUACUGUGCUAAGGUAGCAUAAUCAUUUGUCUUCUAAUUAAAGACUAGAAUGAAAGGAUCUACAUUUAAAUUAUUAUAAAAUUUUAUUAUAUUUAAUUUCUUUUAAAUGUAAAAAAACAUUUAUUAUUAAGAAAGACGAAAAGACCCUAUUGAACUUAACUUAAGUUAAACUGGGGCAGUUAAUUAAUUAUAAUUUUAAUUUAAAAUCAUCUAAAAAUGACCUGAUCUAAUCAAUUAAAUAAUCAAGUUACCAUAGGGAUAACAGCGUAAUAAAUUCUUUUAGCUCUUAUAUAUAAAUAAGAUUACGACCUCGAUGUUGAAUUAAUUAAUCUAUUAAACGCAACCGCUUAUAUAGAAAGUCUGUUCGACUUUUAAACAAUUACAUGAUCU
rnacentral:rRNA from 1 species